rnacentral:rRNA from 1 species
CGCGUAGGUGGUUUGUUAAGCGAGAUGUGAAAGCCCCGGGCUUAACCUGGGAACGGCAUUUCGAACUGGCAGGCUAGAGUGUGGUAGAGGGUAGUGGAAUUUCCUGUGUGGCGGUGAAAUGCGUAGAUAUAGGAAGGAACACCAGUGGCGAAGGCGGCUACCUGGACCAACACUGACACUGAGGUGCGAAAGCGUGGGGAGCAAACA